ACGGGUGAGUAAUGCCUAGGAAUCUGCCUGGUAGUGGGGGACAACGUUUCGAAAGGAACGCUAAUACCGCAUACGUCCUACGGGAGAAAGCAGGGGACCUUCGGGCCUUGCGCUAUCAGAUGAGCCUAGGUCGGAUUAGCUAGUUGGUGGGGUAAUGGCUCACCAAGGCGACGAUCCGUAACUGGUCUGAGAGGAUGAUCAGUCACACUGGAACUGAGACACGGUCCAGACUCCUACGGGAGGCAGCAGUGGGGAAUAUUGGACAAUGGGCGAAAGCCUGAUCCAGCCAUGCCGCGUGUGUGAAGAAGGUCUUCGGAUUGUAAAGCACUUUAAGUUGGGAGGAAGGGCAGUAAGCUAAUACCUUGCUGUUUUGACGUUACCGACAGAAUAAGCACCGGCUAACUCUGUGCCAGCAGCCGCGGUAAUACAGAGGGUGCAAGCGUUAAUCGGAAUUACUGGGCGUAAAGCGCGCGUAGGUGGUUUGUUAAGUUGGAUGUGAAAGCCCCGGGCUCAACCUGGGAACUGCAUCCAAAACUGGCAAGCUAGAGUACGGUAGAGGGUGGUGGAAUUUCCUGU
rnacentral:rRNA from 1 species